AUCAUAUUGAUCUCCAAAAUAUUGAAAUUGCUGGAAAAUGAUUUUAUAUUUUUGUCUUUUGCAUUUAAACUUGUGCAAACCAUGAUUUAAAUAUGUACAAGGCAUGUUUUUACCAGUUACUUUUAUGUCAUGUUUUUCUUAUGUACUCAACAUUUAUUGUUUAGGGUUGCUGAAUCUGAUGAAGUUUCUGUUUGGUUUUGCAGUUUUGUAACGAGUAUGUUGUUCCAAGGGUUUAAGAGGGAACUUUAUGUUGUUUUUUUAUGAAACAUCAUUUGACAGAAAAAUGGUGGAAAAAGGAUAGUUAGCCUUGAAAUGCACUCAAUUCUUCCUAUUUUUUUCAUUCAAUUCUUCCUACUUUGAGGGAUAUUUACUGUUAGUUUGAUUUUGUGUAGGUGUGAAGGUGCAUGUGUAGAGUUAUAUAGAUUUGGUUUCUUCAUUUGUAGAGAAAUUGGUGAAAGAGCAAGCAUCGGUGAAGACUCAUCUUGAUAUUACGGGUCUGUAGGUAUGGUUGAUGUGAGGAUGCUCCUCCUCAAUCGGCUUCUGAACCUCUGCUUCUGAAUUGUGACGGUACCGACUAUUCCUCUCUAUUCUAUUGAUCAAGAAUAAAGGUGAUUGUCCUCAACCACAAUGCGCCAUUAUAUUCUUUGUAGAUUCCUGUAGAACUGUCCAUUAGAUUUUAAAUACAAUCUCUUUGGACAUUCCUAACAAAGCUAAUACCAUAUUAGUUCAAAAACUCAAUUAUAAAUAAAACUAAUACCAGAGUAUUUGAUUAUAAGUUAGUUUUACACAUUAUAACUUAUACAUCUAUCUCAUGGGUUAAAUAGUUGGAUUUAAUUCCAGAUAUUUAGUGAUCCAGAUGGUGUUGAUGUUGUAUUCACAAGUGGAGCAGAUGUAUUGGCAGUUGGAAUAAAUUUAUGUUGCCCAUUUAUAUUAUACUGCUGCUGAUUUUCCAUUUUUCUUUUAGCAAGUCAUGUAAAAAGUAAUGACUGAUUCAGGUACUUACAUUGCAUCUGUUUCUAAUGUGGUUCCGUUUUCGAUGCUGCAACAAAUGGUUUUCAUCCGUCCAGCUACUUCGUCGCUUUACUUCACUGUUGCGACGCUCAUAUCGAAGAUUUUAGAACCGGUUUCUGUUGGGUUUCUUUGGCUGUUGGAGCAGGAAUCAGUUUAUUGAUAGUCCACUGGGCAACAAUGAAGGGUGAGAUUGAGAAAAUUUGAAAUAUUGUGGUCGUACGUUCGAUUGGGUUGUUAUUUACUAUAAUUAUUGUAUAAACUUUUGCACCGCUGUAGAACUUGACCAUGGUUGCGCCAUUUUUCUCAACGCCUUUUCGGUAAAGUUUCAAAGACUCAUGUUUUGAAUUUUCUUUGGUGGCAAUACUUUGUUCUGGUGGUAAUUUCCUGUAUAAUAAUUUAUUCUCUUCAUUUUAGAGGUCAUGACUCAUGACUUUAAGUAAGCACUGAGAACUUGGCAUUGAGAAGCUUUGCCUAUCUGCUGUUCUAACUUAAUUGUGUUCAAGGUCGUUAGUUAUAUCCAAUAUGAAACUAAAUUCUUAAGUAAUCCUUUCAGCCAAAUCCAGACAAGAUAACAAAAAUAGAUGCAGAAGGGAUUGUGACUUGCUCACAAGAUGCAAUAUGUUCUCUCGAUGAAAAAUAGGUGAAUGCUACUGGACAUAUGGUCCCUAUGGAUCAACCAAAAAGGCUGCACUUCAGAUGUUGGUAAGAUGGAUAGAAGGAAACCUGAACGAGACAAGCUCUUAACUUCUAUGUAAAUUGAUACAAACGUGUCAAGAUUAAAAGUUUUUGAGGCGGCUAGUAACGGAAGAAUGAACUAAAUCAAUAUCAGAUUUGUUGAAAUAACCAUCAAGAAGCAUAUGUCAAACGAAGAGGCAGAUUAAACUAUACAUGGUGGUGGAUUGGCAAGGCUUGACCUCAUUGAAGCCACUGUUGCAACAUUGUAUGAUAAAAUGCACCUGCUUGAAACACGACUGAACAUGAUUACAAAAAUGCAACUCAGGCACCUCCGCAGAUAUAAACUGCUUAUCGUGCACAUUUUUUCAGAAAAUGAAGAGAGGGAGAAUGUGCACGUGAUUACAAUUCAGCUGCCUUAUCAAUUCAGAAGAAAUACUGAGGUCCAAAAGGAUGUAGAGAGUUCUUAUUGUUGCACCAUAAAGGUGUUAAGAU